rnacentral:lncRNA from 1 species
UUAAAAAUUUGAGAAAUGAAGGAGUAUAAACAUAUUGAUUUCUUCCAAUUCUCAAACAUAUAUAUUUUAACCAACAAGGUUCUCAUUAGUAUUUUAUUUUUUAAAAAGGCCCGGGUGAUGCCAAAAUUAGGAACCUUAUUAUUCACUUUUAAAGAAAAUAUGAGGUUAGUCACAGCCACAAACAGCUGUGUGGAAUCAGCAACAUUUCAAAAUAUACAAAAUUAAAUAUUUCCCUAAGAUGAUUUUUCUCAAAGACAGUUUCAUAACCGUCUCCUUAAAAAUACUGGCACACUGCACAUCUUGAUUAUUUAAGUCUGUUCUUCCUAGUAGAUUAAAAAAUUCUGAGCAGCAAUCUAUAUCAAAAGUAAGCAAUCGUAGUUCACCACCACUCUAAGCUGCUUUAAAUUCACAAUUAAACAUGCAGUUACAAGAGGGGCAAGUUAUACAUCAGAGGACAUGCAAGUGCUCACAUUGCAAAUCAAUUGCAACUUACUAUUGAACACAGGAUUUAAAACAAAAGGCUUUGGCAAUAACUGGAGGCAAAAAAAUGGUGGGGAGGAAAUCAGNNNNNNNNNNNNNNNNNNNNNNNNCUAUAAUAACAUUAUAAUUCUGACCCUUGUGCAUUUUAAAACAGUAAUGCUAUCUAUCAGAAGAGCAGACAUCAUUACUUAGUUAAAUUUGCUUCUGGAACUCUCCAGGUGUUCUAAAGGGGCUAAUUCUAAUAGGAGAAAAUAUAUCAGAAUUUCACUUGCUAUAUUGAGCUGUGGUU